GACGAACGCUGGCGGCGUGCUUAACACAUGCAAGUCGAACGGAAAGGCCCUGCUUUUGUGGGGUGCUCGAGUGGCGAACGGGUGAGUAACACGUGAGUAACCUGCCCUUGACUUUGGGAUAACUUCAGGAAACUGGGGCUAAUACCGGAUAGGAGCUCCUGCUGCAUGGGUGGGGUUGGAAAGUUUCGGCGGUUGGGGAUGGACUCGCGGCUUAUCAGCUUGUUGGUGGGGUAGUGGCUUACCAAGGCUUGACGGGUAGCCGGCCUGAGAGGGUGACCGGCCACAUUGGGACUGAGAUACGGCCCAGACUCCUACGGGAGGCAGCAGUGGGGAAUAUUGCACAAUGGGCGGAAGCCUGAUGCAGCAACGCCGCGUGCGGGAUGACGGCCU
rnacentral:rRNA from 1 species